rnacentral:rRNA from 1 species
UACCAGCACCCCGAGUGGUCGGGACGAUUAUUGGGCCUAAAGCAUCCGUAGCCGGUCCUACAAGUCUUCCGUUAAAUCCACCUGCUUAACAGAUGGGCUGCGGAAGAUACUAUAGGGCUAGGAGGCGGGAGAGGCAAGCGGUACUCAGUGGGUAGGGGUAAAAUCCUCUGAUCCAUUGAAGACCACCAGUGGCGAAGGCGGCUCACUGGACUGGUAUUGACGCUGAGGUGCGAAAGCGUGGGGAGCAAACAGG